GUCUUUCUUUUGCCUUCUUUUUUCUCUUUCUUUUUUCCUUUUUUCUUUUCUUCUUUCCCUUUUCUUUUCUUUUCAUCUUUUUUCUUUUCCCUCUUUUCUUUCCUCUUUUCGUCACUGUUUUCUUUCUUUCUUUUUCUCUUUCCAUUUUUUCUCUUUCCAUCUUUUUUUCUCUCCAUUCUUCUUUCUCUUUCUUCUCUCUUUCCUUUUUUCUCUUCUCUCUGUUUUCUUCUUUCCUUUCUCCCUUUCCUCUUCUUUCCAUUUUUCUAUCCUUUCACCUCUCUCCUGUUUUUCUCUUUCCUUUUUCCUCUCAUAUUUUCCUUCCUAUUUUCUUUUUCCUUUUAUUUUCCUGCCUUCUUUUCUUUCUUUGUUCCUCUUUCCUUUGUCUCUUUCCUGUUUGCCUCUUUCCUUUCUUCUUUCCUCUUUUCUUUCCCUUAAUUCCCGUUCCUUUUGGGCUCUUUUCUUUUUUCUUUCCUUCUGCCUUUUGCCUUUUGCCUUUUCCUUUUCUUUCUUUUUUUUCCUUUCUUUUUUCUUUCCUUUUUUUCUCUGCCUUGUUUCUUUUUUGCCGCUUUCCUUUCACUUUCCUUUAUCGCUCUUUUCAUUCCUUCCUUCCUUUCAUUUUCUGUUCUCUUCCUUUUUUGUGCGUGGCUUUCCUUUUUCUUUCUCUUUUCUCUUUCCAUUCUGCCUUUCCUCUUUUCUUUCCAUUUUUCUUUCUUUUUGCUCUUUCCUUCUCUUUCCCUUUUUGCUCUUUCUUUUUUCCCUUGUCUUUGUUUUCUUGCCUUUCCCUUCCUUUUGCUUUUCCCUUUUUUCUUUCCUUUUUUCCUGUUCUUCUUUCUCCUUUUGUUUCUUUUUGCUCUUUCCUUUUUUCUAUAUCCUUUUUUCUCUUCCCUUUUUUCUAUACUCUCUUGUCUCCUCUUUUUUUUCUCUUUCCUUUUUUUCUUUCCUUUUGUCUUUCUCAGUUCUCUCUUUCCUUCUUUCUCUCAUCUUUUCAUUCCUUUACUCUGUUUCUUUUUAUAAGGCUGCUGCCAAGGCCUUUUUUUCCCCUCUUGCCUUUUCUUUCUUUCCUUGCCUUUUCUUUCUUUCUUUCUUUGUUUUUCUCCCAUUUUUUCUUGUCUUUCCUUUUCUAUCCUUUUCUUCCCUUUUUUCUUCUUCCCUUUUUUCACUUUAUUUCUCUCUCCUUUUUCUUCUCUUCCCUUUUCUCUUUGGUUCUUUCUCUUCCUUUUUUUCAUUUCCUUUCUCUUUCCAUUUUCUCUUUCCAUUUUCUCUCCUGUUUCUUUCCCCGUUUCUUUCCUUUUUAUCUCUUUUCUCUCUUUCCUUUCUCCUCUUUCCUUUUUUUCACUUUCUUUUUUUUUUCUAUUUCUUUUCUUAUCUUCCCAUUUUUAUUUUCUUUCUUUUCUCUUUCCUUUUUUUUUUCUCUUUCCCGUUUUUACAGAUUAGGUCCAGGUUGAGCUGUUUCAAACAGGAAUGCACAAUGUUUCCUUACAGCUGUGAUGUCUUCUUUGCUCAUGCAAAGAAGCCUGAAGCUCCUGAUUUUUUCCCCGCAGCCUGUCCCCUUUUGGAGACUAAAAGCACCUCUGGCCAGGCGACUCAACUCUUCCUUGAUGCAUGCCCACGACAACCUUGCGGGGCUCUGAUGGCUCUCGAGCCCCGUUCAGCAUGCUCUAGUGACACUGCUGGCUGGUCAGAUGCUUCUCGUGGCCCGCAAGCAGGAAGAGGCAAUGGCAGCAGGUGCCCGGGGGAUUAUGGAGGGGCCCUGCGAAGCAGGACGGGAGCUCUCCAGGCAGCACCUGGAGGGCAUUUGCGGUGCAGAGACAUUUGAUAACUGUGCAGGCACGAGGGCAGGUGGUUUUUCCCUGCGCCUCCUUCUCCAAGCUGAGCUGUCACUGCCCAGCGGGAAAGCUGUCCACACUUGUGCUCCGUUGCUGGUCCCUUCUGCAGUUUUCCCAGCACUCCUGGAAGAACAGGGCGGGCUCUGAGCAGCUCCUGUGCAUCGUGCUGAGACUGUUUUUCACGUGAGGCAGCGGAGGGGCAGAGAGGCAUGUGGU
ensembl:lncRNA